GACAGAGGGUGCAAACGUUGUUCGGAAUUACUGGGCGUAAAGCGUGUGUAGGCGGCCAUGCAAGUCGGAUGUGAAAGCCCUGGGCUCAACCCAGGAAGUGCACUCGAAACUGCGUGGCUUGAGUACUGGAGAGGUUAGUGGAAUUCUCGGUGUAGAGGUGAAAUUCGUAGAUAUCGAGAGGAACACCGGUGGCGAAGGCGGCCAUCUGGACAGAAACUGACGCUGAGACGCGAAAGCGUGGGGAGCAAACAGG
rnacentral:rRNA from 1 species